rnacentral:rRNA from 1 species
GACGAACGCUGGCGGCGUGCUUAACACAUGCAAGUCGAACGGAAAGGCCCUGCUUGCAGGGUGCUCGAGUGGCGAACGGGUGAGUAACACGUGGGUGAUCUGCCCCUUACUUUGGGAUAAGCCUGGGAAACUGGGUCUAAUACUGGAUAGGACCAUGCUGUAGGUGGUGUGGUGGAAAGAUUAGUUUCGGUAAGGGAUGAGCUCGCGGCCUAUCAGCUUGUUGGUGGGGUAAUGGCCUACCAAGGCGUCGACGGGUAGCCGGCCUGAGAGGGUGGACGGCCACAUUGGGACUGAGAUACGGCCCAGACUCCUACGGGGGGCAGCAGUGGGGAAUAUUGCACAAUGGGCGCAAGCCUGAUGCAGCGACGCCGCGUGGGGGAUGACGGCCUUCGGGUUGUAAACUCCUUUCAGCCAUGACGAAGCCCUUGUGGUGACGGUAGUGGUAGAAGAAGCACCGGCUAACUACGUG